GAUGAACGCUGGCGGCGUGCCUAAUACAUGCAAGUCGAGCGAACAGAUAAGGAGCUUGCUCCUUUGACGUUAGCGGCGGACGGGUGAGUAACACGUGGGUAACCUACCUAUAAGACUGGAAUAACUCCGGGAAACCGGGGCUAAUGCCGGAUAACAUGUUGAACCGCAUGGUUCUACAGUGAAAGGCGGCUUUGCUGUCACUUAUAGAUGGACCCGCGCCGUAUUAGCUAGUUGGUGAGGUAACGGCUCACCAAGGCAACGAUACGUAGCCGACCUGAGAGGGUGAUCGGCCACACUGGAACUGAGACACGGUCCAGACUCCUACGGGAGGCAGCAGUAGGGAAUCUUCCGCAAUGGGCGAAAGCCUGACGGAGCAACGCCGCGUGAGUGAUGAAGGACUUCGGAUCGUAAAACUCUGUUAUUAGGGAAGAACAAAUGCGUAAGUAACUGUGCGCGUCUUGACGGUACCUAAUCAGAAAGCCACGGCUAACUACGUG
rnacentral:rRNA from 1 species